rnacentral:rRNA from 1 species
ACCGGCUAACUCCGUGCCAGCAGCCGCGGUAAUACGGAGGGUGCGAGCGUUAAUCGGAAUUACUGGGCGUAAAGGGUGCGUAGGUGGUUUAUUAAGUUAUCUGUGAAAUCCCUGGGCUUAACCUGGGCAGGUCAGAUAAGACUGAUUGACUCGAGUAUGGGAGAGGGUAGUGGAAUUUCCGGUGUAGCGGUGAAAUGCGUAGAGAUCGGAAGGAACACCAGUGGCGAAGGCGGCUACCUGGCCUAAUACUGACACUGAGGCACGAAAGCGUGGGGAGCAAACAGG